rnacentral:rRNA from 1 species
UACGAAGGGGGCUAGCGUUGUUCGGAAUUACUGGGCGUAAAGCGCACGUAGGCGGAUAUUUAAGUCAGGGGUGAAAUCCCGGGGCUCAACCCCGGAACUGCCUUUGAUACUGGGUAUCUAGAGUCCAGAAGAGGUGAGUGGAAUUCCCGGUGUAGCGGUGAAAUGCGCAGAUAUCGGGAGGAACACCGGUGGCGAAGGCGGCUCUCUGGACAGUGACUGACGCUGAGACGCGAAAGCGUGGGGAGCAAACAGG